ACUCUAAAUAGACUGCCUUCGUAAGGAGGAGGAAGGUGUGGACGACGUCAAGUCAUCAUGGCCCUUAUGCCCAGGGCGACACACGUGCUACAAUGGCAUAUACAAUGAGACGCAAUACCGCGAGGUGGAGCAAAUCUAUAAAAUAUGUCCCAGUUCGGAUUGUUCUCUGCAACUCGAGAGCAUGAAGCCGGAAUCGCUAGUAAUCGUAGAUCAGCCAUGCUACGGUGAAUACGUUCCCGGGUCUUGUACUCACCGCCCGUCACACCAUGGGAGUUGAUUUCACUCGAAGCCGGAAUACUAAACUAGUUACCGUCCACAGUGGAAUCAGCGACUGGGGUGAAGUCGUAACAAGGUAACCGUAGGAGAACCUGCGGUUGGAUCACCUCCUUUCUAG
rnacentral:rRNA from 1 species